CAUUGUUAAAGCAGCACCCAUUUUACUUUCAAGUACAGAAACUGCUGGAGGAUCAGGGAAAGUGGAGCGAAGGCAUCACAGAAAGAAACUGGAGGGUUCCUUCCUGUUCAACUUCUCCAGCAUUCUCGUUAUUCUCAGUUAAGUGGCCCUUCUGGGAAGCAGUCAAUCCAGGACAAGAGUGUGAUAUUCUGGAACCUCAUGGGCUGCCAAUAUCGAGAUGCCAAUAAAAUAAGAUACUGUGGGCCUGAUUGUCUUCACCUCCACACCAGUGUAAAUCUGAAGUAACUCCAUUUAAGUAAUUCAUGUAAGAUUGAUGUCAGCAAGAGGAGAAUCGAGGCCCGUAUGUUUGAGAAUACCUGUUUCACGUUUUCUCAGUUUCAGAAAGUCUUUUUUUUUAAAUCCAUGGAAAACUUCAAAAUGUAUACUAGCUGUGAGAAGAAAUAAACAGCAGCAAACGAGAGUUAGCAAAGGGGAUGGAGUUCAUGCCUAUUAGUCUCUUGAAACAUUUUUCAAACAAAUACUUUUAGAAAUUAAAAUUGUAAUUUUUUAAAAAGGCCUGAAUAUUAUAUAACAGAAAAAGCUCAAAAAUAAACAUUAGAUGAUAAAAGCAUAGAUGAUAUGCAAGAUACACAUAAAUGAAGUGCCCAGAUAUUACAGUGCUUUGAACCGUAUAUAUAUGUGAUUAAUACACUUUAAAAGUUAUGUUGAAAAAUAUUUAUAUCAUAUUCCCAACCAUCUCUGGUAACUGAAUCUCAAGAUUUCCUUCCUUCCCUGCUAUCAUCCAGAAAAGCUAAACAAACAUGUACAUACCAAAAGGGAAAGAUUCCUGCAGCAAGAAAUAGCAGC